UAAUAUACUCGGAAUUUCACCGGUAGAUGCUGGUUUUCCCGCUUAAUCGCGUGGGCUCGAUAAUUAUGUUGUUGAUCUCUUUGGAUCGUAAAAAAAACUGCUGAAGCAUGAUCGUGCAUUAAUUUGCCGGCCGCGAGAUGAAACGGUAAUUAUAACGGCCGGCGCCAUGUUUGCAUGAUACAUGCACCGCAACAUGUGUCAACAGAUACAUGUUCUUUUUUUUAUGCACAUCUAUUUUCGGGCUGUUUUUUCGAUGGAUUCCGAUAUUACUGGACGCCCUGUACACAGAUUCCACUUGUAGCUGAUUGUAAUUAAAGCUGACUCCGAUUACGAGGGAGAGGAUCCACUGCACUACGCUUGUUCCUGUUUCUUCACGCAGACAACCUCUUAACAACUUGACAGCGGAUCGCAGCAGCAAAUCUAACUUCGUCAAUGUUACAGGAAUAAGUGUACGCACGAGGAGAAGACGCAUAGAAUCCGUACGUCCGUAGUGGUAACUAAAGAGCUCCUAUACGGGACCAAACAGACGGGACACGGGUUAGAACACAAAUGGGACGCGACAGUCAGUGGACGCCACAUAGCACAUGCAUGCCGGCAUAAUUGAGACCAACCGUUUCCGGGUCCAGCUGCACCACCGGGUUGUCGGUGUCGUUCAGAAUGGGCUCGGCGUUGGUGUUAAACAGCGACAUCACCGGCCGCGGGAGCCGGUUCUUGUAGUGGAUCAGCUCGGACUGGGCGAAGCGGCUGCGCGGCGGAGGCGGCGCGAUUUUUCGGGUUUUGGUCGGUCUGUAAAAGAGAGAAAUCCGAAUGUUAUUAGCUGUAAUGAACACACAUAUUAUACUCGACCAGUAAAUAAUUAAUCCGCUUUUUCAAUGCAGGUUUUUUUAUCCUUGUCGCAAAUCGUCAGGAAGUAUAAUUUUAAUAUGUGUACAUAUUUACGGAUGACUGCACAAGUGUGUCAAUAAUUUUUUAAUAAAAUAUAGUUUCGCGCUAUGGCGCAACAAUCUAUACGUAUAUACGACUAAUACGAGUAUGUACAUAAAUCGAAUUAUCUAAGCGGUUUUGUUUGAAACAAGCCCCCUUCUGCAGUGACUAACCGGCGUGAUGCCGGCACUUCAAUUUAUAAUCGAUUUUCUUAAUUUUACUUGACAUACUUUGAGGCAUAGUUGGGUGCGCCAACUGUAUGCAAACUGAGAUUAAUGUGCUACUGCAUAAUGAAAUUUUAUUCAAAUAUUUAUACACAUAAUCUUACCGCAUUUUGAGCAGCAAAAGCGCAGCGCACAGAGCACACGCCAGGAAUCCGACUAUUCCAACGAACACGUACACCGUAAUGCGCAACUCUGCAACAAACACAUCUGAAUUUGAGUACUAUGUUUUUGAUGGGUUUUCCUACCGAAAAUAAUUGCAAAAGAUGAAACCUUUUUUAAAGGCCACUUAUUAAAAGCAAUCAAUUUAUUUUUAAAUAAGUCGUUUUCAUAAGAGUUAAUAAUGAUGAUAAUAAGUACAGGAAUUCGUCUUACUUUCGUUUUCAUUUUGAAUGGAAGCGCCGGCUUCGUUGGCCGUCGUCAUAUUAAACACGCAGGUAAACGGUCCCACCGGCGAAUGGAAUUUCAAGCAGGGACAGUCGAUGCGCGCCGACACCGGAUGGAAGCGGCACCAUGUGGUUAGAAGGUCACAGUUGUGCUCCUGCCGGGCACAAUAAUCGUACGCUGCCAGCGGCACAUCCUGCCGGUUGAACGAAUAACCACUGGAUAGCGACAGGUUGCGAGCGGCGAGAGUGUGCAGCGCCGCCGCCACUUCCGAAUUGUUAACGCUGUGACUGCCGCGGAUUUUGAUGAAGGAGUGGGCGGAAAUGGGUGUGGCGUUAGUGGGGUCGGCGGAGCGUUUGCGGAUACGGGGCGGCAGUGUGAAGGAUUGGAUGGCGAUGGUGACGGAGGCGUUCAGCGCGUGGUUUAAUGGUAGUUCCAUCUACCAACAAAAAUAAUCAAAUAAUUCUUUGAUGACUUGCCGCGCGAGCUGUGAAGAAACAUUGAGGAAGUCCUCAUUAUACGCGCCAUACAAGACAAUCCGAGCCUCCAACACUUUAUUCGCUACAACCCAACACUGACCAGUUUACCCAAAAUGUUUAUAAUAAAAAAUUCAUUUAUCUUUACCUUGCAGGCAAUGUCCAUCCUGGAACACCUUGGACAGUGGGCACACACAACUGCGCAUCCGCCGAUCGCCCGCCUCCUCCGGGUUGCGGAUAAACCCUUCCUCACACUCACACCGCAAACCAUCAGUAAAAUUGUAGCACUUCUGAUACGGCCCACACUCUAACGAACAUGUUAAAAUAACCGCCGGAAUGUCUGUCACAUUAGUAGCCGACGCUUCAGGAGAGAUUGUUCCCUGCAAAGCGGUAGUGCUACUUUCAGCCGGUAAACUGCCGGAGUCGGUUGUCCGGGCUCUGGUCGAAGCGAUAGAAGGUAUAACAACUGUCGAAGUAACUGGAAUUUCCGGAAUGUGUGACGUCGUUGUCGGUACAAUGGAAUGUGGUGCACUGACGUCAGCUGUUGUUUCCCCCGGCAUUUCUGAAGCCUGUAUCGUCGGUAAAAUCAGGUUCUCGGUGUGCUGUGAAGAAUUCGAUGAGGCGUUGGACGUAACGAUGCUCAUCAUAUCGACGCUGGUUUCCUGAAAAUUAGCCGGCACUGCCGGUUGGGUGGGGGUCGUGGUCGGGACAGUGGAGGUUGUUGUUGUCUCCAGCGUUGUGGUUUCCACGACCUCAUUUAUUUCCCCGAUGACAUCAUCGUAAUCGCCGGUGGCUUCGCCGUCCGGUUGUCCCGUUGCGUCUAAAUGCCGGCUGGUGCGCCCGGUACUGUUGAUAUUUAACACAUCACUGGCAUUGGUCGGAGCAACACGGUAACGGUCCACCGGGGGUUUAGUAUGAUGCCGCGAACGCAUAGCCGGUGUUGUGGUGGAAUCUUCGUUGUCCGGACCGAUAGUCGUCUCGUCGGCCGUUGCCACGGAAGUUGUCGUCUCGAACACCGCGUCAUGGACGGUCGUCAAGCUCCCCAUGGGCACGGUGACCCGCCCUGAGAAGGUGCGAGUAAACUGUCCUUGCUGGUGGGUCGCGUCGGGCAGAAAGCCUACCGGGAGGGCGGUGACGUUGUGGGUGAUGUUCCCGUACAGGUCCACGCGCUCUAGAUCGUGGCGGACCUGGCUAGGCGGGUGGGCAUCAUCAGGUUCGUCACCGUGUCGCACAACGGGAGACGGAGGGGUGUCGGUCGUAGUAGCGGACCGGUGGGAUGGGUGGAUGGUGGAGGGCGAGGUGGCGGUGACUGGAUGAUGGGGAGUUGUGGUGUGAGCCGUAUGAGCGGCGUGCGUGGAGGGAUGCGCCGGAUGCCGGGUGGUGGGAGCAUGACGCGACGGUGGAGUGGAUUCUGUUGAGGACGUCUGACCGGAUCCUUCGGCAUCGUCCGUUACUAGACAAUAGUUUUCAUCGAACUUAAUAAAUGGACAGGAGAAAACAAUUAUAGCAAAUACAUUGACCGGUCUAAACACUGUAGUGAUUGUACUCGUACAUAUACUGUAAUCACGUGUAGUGAUAUAUUUAUUAUGACCUGAUCGUUUCUAUAAAUUUUAGCAAUUUUCUACAAUUCCUGAAUUUGCACGGUGCGGUCUCGGCACUCUUGACUGUUGGGCCGAAUCUGGUAAUUAAUUUAGUAUUAUUAACGGUGACUGCUAUGCGCCCCGACGAACCGGGCGCAUAGAAUUUAGUUAUGCGCCCCGAUGCCCGGGCGCACAGAAUUUGGCUUUGCUCCCCGAAUGUCCGGGCGCAGAAAUAUCGGUGAUUUGCUGUUU